UACGGAGGGGGCUAGCGUUGUUCGGAAUUACUGGGCGUAAAGCGCACGUAGGCGGCUUUGUAAGUUAGAGGUGAAAGCCCGGAGCUCAACUUCGGAAUUGCCUUUAAGACUGCAUCGCUUGAAUCGUGGAGAGGUGAGUGGAAUUCCGAGUGUAGAGGUGAAAUUCGUAGAUAUUCGGAAGAACACCAGUGGCGAAGGCGACUCACUGGACACGUAUUGACGCUGAGGUGCGAAAGCGUGGGGAGCAAACGGG
rnacentral:rRNA from 1 species